CUAUCUUAGCGCUAAGAGAGCUUAGAAAAUCUAGGGCCUCGUCGCUAUGUACAGUCGUAUCCCAGUUCUGGUCCCUACAUACAUCCACGACACUGUGAAUCACUCCAAACAUGCUGUUGGAAAAUAUUUCCUUUGAAAUUAUUGAAAUAUAAUAUUUCGAAAUAAUUAUGACACAAUGAAUUUUGUUUAUAUGACGAAUGGUAUACGCUUCUUUCAGACCCAGUGAGCGGCGCUUGCACAAACCUAAUCGAAAAUCGCUGAUGGUGUGUCAACUUCCUUCCACCCACCUUCCCACCCACCUUCCCAACCACCUUCCACCAUUCGACACAGACAGACUUCGGCAAUCAUUUGGUCGAAUAUAUCUGGCGUACUUGCAUCGUAAAAAAUCAACCAGCAUUCGAGAAGUUGUUGGAGGCAAUCAUACUGAAGUACCCGUUUUAAUGGGGUGGCACAAACCUAAUUGAAAAUCGCUGAUGGUGCGCCAACUACCUUCCACCCAUUCGACACGGACAAACUACGGCCAUCAUUUGGUCGAAUAUAUCUGGCGUACUUGCAUCGUAAAGUUGUUGGAGGCAAUCAGACUGCAGUGCCUGUUUUAAUGCUCACAAUGGCGAGGUGAGGGACUAACUGGAUAGGAUCCCGGAGCCUGUGUUGCUGGAAUAGACGUUACAACGUGCUACUUGAAGAAAACGUGUGACAUUAAAGCGAAAAUAUGGUGAAAAAUGUAAAUUUCGUGGAUAUGGAAGAAGUGCCUUAAAGAUAUUUGACUUAGUGUUAGACAGACAUUGAACAAGUACCUCCGACAUUUGCAGAUGUUAAGUUUGAUGGACAGUGAACAUACUAAUCACACAGGAAGAGUGAGACUUACGA